rnacentral:rRNA from 1 species
GGAUUCGAAGGGAAAAACUCCCAACCAUUGUGAACCUUACCACUGUUGCUUCUGCGGCCUCGCCCCGGGCGCGUUCCUGUGGCCCGGACCCAGGCGUCCGCCGGAGGCUCCAAACUCUUGUCUUUUAGUGUAUUUCUGAGUGGCAUAAGCAAAUAAAUCAAAACUUUCAGCAACGGAUCUCUUGGUUCUGGCAUCGAUGAAGAACGCAGCAAAAUGCGAUAAGUAAUGUGAAUUGCAGAAUUCAGUGAAUCAUCGAAUCUUUGAACGCACAUUGCGCCCGCCAGUAUUCUGGCGGGCAUGCCUGUCUGAGCGUCAUUUCAACCCUCAGGACCCGUUCGCGGGACCUGGCGUUGGGGAUCAGCCUGCCCCUGGCGGCGGCUGGCCCUGAAAUCCAGUGGCGGUUCCCUCGCGAACUCCUCCGUGCAGUAAUUAAACCUCUCGCGGCAGGAUAGCGGUUGAACCACGCCGUUAAACCCCCCACUUCUCAAGGUUGACCUCAGAUCAGGUAGGAAUACCCGCUGAACUUAAGCAUAUCAAUAA